rnacentral:pre_miRNA from 1 species
UAAAAGUUGAUUCGUAGGUUUCAUGUCCAUUUUUUAACUGUCUAUUUUAUAUGAAUUUUUUAUAACUAAUAUUUUUAUUUUUAUUAGAUGAUAAAACAUGAAUGGUAGUGCUUUAUACGGAACUUAUGUUUUCAAAUUUUUUUAUAUUUUUUUAAAUAAAACAGAUGAUUAAAGUUUGUAUACGGAAACACACGAAUCAAUUUAUU